AUGAGCCCGCCGCCGCCUCAGGAAAUGAACACGCCAGACAAGAGCGCAGACGAGGCGGACGCGACCCAGCAGGAACGAAAUGAAAGUCGAGGCAACAAGCCGGCGGAUGAACAAAGUAGUUCUGAGGAGACGAAACCAAUUCUGGAUUUUAAGAUCCGUCUGAAGAGGAGGAGAGGCCGCGUGUGGGAAAUGCAGGGCGAAAACAUGGCGCUGAAGGCGGAGAAAGGAGACGACGGGAUGCCGUGCGACCCCUUCAAAGCCAUCAUGGAUUCUGUCUCCAUUCUGAACAUGGAGAUGGAGGCCGCUCAGGCUCACGUGCACGCCAGCAAGAAGUCGCAGAACCGCUCGCAUCGCUCGAAAAAGAAAGCCGAGAAAAAACAAGCGUCCGUCCCAGCCGCUCCCCAAGUGGCAGCCAAGUCACCCGAACGCACCGCGCCGAAAGACGCCGUCAAGGAGACGCCGGCGGGAGUUCAGCAGCCUCCAGCAACAACAGAGAACCAAAAUGGCGGCGGUGUCGCAUCAGGGCGUGACACAAAAGUGGAGGAUCGUUUUCUGAACAACUGCUGCUUGUUUGAAAGCGGGUUGGAACCAAAGCUGGAGCCAAAGUUAGACGACCUUUCGCUACCUGUAAUCAAGUUACGGAGAAAAGUAGAGGAUAUCUGGGAGGUGGACAGCAAGGAUGACCUCCUGCCGCCGGACCGCAAAACAGAACUCUGCAUCAAGAGGGAGAUGAGGGGUCCGGGUCCAGACAAAAAGCCAAAAGGAUGCAGCGAUGCUUUCAAAGAAGAGGUUCCUCAGAAGCCGAACAGCGCCGCGGCCCCGCUGAAAACCGAGCCGCCCUCCUUCUCUCUGUCCCUGUCGCCGCUAUCGCUUUCGUCACCGGCCAGUGAAACUAGAACUGAAGUCCUGGCCUCAGCCGCGGACAGAACCGGCGACAGGUCAGAGGUGAACAGCGGAGGCAGGAAACCGAGGCACAAAAUGGAAAGACCGCGCCGGUGUGGGCCUGUGGAAGCUCCGCCCACCUGCCUGAGCCACACGCUCCAGCAAAUCGACAACAGCCUCUCCAAGCUUUCCGAAGGCUUGUGUUCGUCCCAGACGCUGGAGAAGCCGGCGGACGGCUCCUCCGAGUCCAACGCGCCGGUCCAGCCGGCCGCUCAGUCCCCCCUGUUCGCCGCCGCAGACAACAUGCUCUCCGCUGAGCCCAACUUCACCAACUGCUGCGAGGACAUCCUCGACUUUCAGUGUCUGAACUUCGAGGGCUACUACCAGCCGCAGAACAUUCUCCCGUCGUCUCCGUCGGACCUGUGCUCCCUCGAUCCACCCACCGACCCCUUCAGCAGCCCGCUCUCCCACAGCCCGUCCGACACGUGGACCACAGAAACGCCGUACCUCGGCCCGCCCAGUCCGGGAAACAACUUCACCAGUGAGGAUUUGCAGUUUUUCCCAGGCUUAAUAUCUUCUAAAGGCGAAUCUGGCGCUUUGGAUUGUGAAGCAAAAGACGCAGCCAAAGACAGAAAUCCUCUCAAUCCCUCUUUCGGCUUUGUGGGAAACUCCGACUUGACAAUGAAGGAUCGAAUCAUUAGCAAAAACCUCGCGAUGAGAGCCAGAGAAGACCUCAAAGCCCAGUCUGCGUCUGUCGCCGGCAAGCCUCGUUUGUUUGUUUCCGCCCCGUCUUCUGUUACCCCUCAAAACCCCGUUACCCUGACCCAACCAUCCGUCAGCAUCCGGCCGAGCACCAGCCAGUGCAAGAGCCAGUCCAACCUCAAAAGCCACGGCCCUUUCCAUCGCAUGACCAUUCCAGGAAAAUCCCAGUCGUUCCCGACCGCCCCGUCAAGCACGGCUCGAGCUUCAUCCCAAACGUCCAACAGAUUCCUCAGUCCUCAACUUUUGUCUGCGAAAAACCCCAAUCCUCACGAAAGUCCCUACAACUAUCAAGAGAAGUCCUCCACGGUCAUCCACAGGGUUCUGAAGUUUCAGGGAGGGAGCCAGACGCAGAACUUGUACAGCGCGCCCUGCAAAGACACUAUGGCUUCUGGAAACCCGGCAGUCACGACCAGGAUACACGGUGCAAAGCCGGGAGUCGCCGAGAAGCCCCAUGAGACCUACGGCGUGGGAGGUCAUCAGAAGAGCAGCAAUUCUCUUCACGGGUUCGGUUCUUCCAACAAUCAUAGCCGGUCCAACCUCCAUUCCAACAAAACCAGUUCUUCCAUUUCACAGCCUCUCAAUGCAAGGAAGAUGUCCUCUGACAAACAAGACGAAGUCAACAUGACGUACAAGAACUUCUCCGCCAUGCCAAGAUCCUUCGUGUUUCCCAGCAAAGUGUCGGACAGUUACGCCUCCCCGCAAGAGAAGAGUCUGAAGCUGGACAAACCCAGCAUGCCAACCUCCGACAAGAACCAGCCGUGUUACCCCCAACAAGACCCCUUCGACUUCAGCUUCGGGUCGUCGCUUUCAUCCAUGACUCAGCACAGCAGCCCCCAGGUGAUCCAGAGCACACCCCCUUCCACACCAGCACCAGCAAGCAAGAGCCAGUCCUCGGCGUCCUCAUCGUUCCCCUACAGCUACCAAGGUCCUCCGUACGUCCUGAACUUCAGCGGAGACCACUCGCUGACUCUGGGUCUCAGGGACGGGGCUGAAGGCUAUCCAGGCUUCGGCUCCACAAACUACACCUACCACUGCCUGAUGGAGCCUUCGGGCACUCAAGGGCGGCUGGUUCUGGAGCCGUGCGGGCCCCAGCUCUCCAACCCGGCCAACUUAGGGAUUUUUUCAGGUCUCAAGAGUCAAGACGACCACUGCAGGAAAGACCUGCAGCAGUGCCAGCCCGGAGAGAACCAGGCCGCGUCACACUACGGCCCCGUCCCAACGUCGCACUCCAUGGGCGCCACGAAACCUAAAAGAGUCCGGCUGGUGGUGACUGACGGUACGGUCGACCUUGACCUCCAGUACUCCGACUGA
rnacentral:lncRNA from 1 species